AUAAAUCGAAUAUAUGUCGGAAAUUCACACGAAGAAGGUUUAUUGUCCUCUGUUCCUUUUUUCACGAGUUAUACAUGAGAGCUGUAGACAGCUGCAAAAUAAAACUUCGGAUAGGAACAUUUGAUUACUUCGGGGCGGGUGUUUCACCGGAAGAUAUUUUCGGUGUACCCUUUACAGACGCCAAUUCCUUCUCACGUCAACCGCUCCAUGUGAGCACGGAUUUUAUGGUAUUUGGUCCACAAAAUCACUGUUUGUAUCCAGUCAUUCUCGUUAACAAUACCAUGGAUAUUAUUGAAGAUGACGAGCAGUUAGGUGAGACGUCUGAGCAGGACAGCGAAUUAUCUGACGGAGAGCUUCAAGAUGCAUUCGCAAAGGGAUUGUUAAAGCCUGGGUUGAACUUUACAACACAAGAACCGAAGAAGAUUGUCAACAAUGUGGAGGGUUUGAAACAAUGCCUCGCUGACUUUCGUAAGAACACACUACCCUGGAUAGAGAGGCUGGACAUGGUCAAUCUCCCCGCUGAUGACAUCGUUGCCAAGUCCGAGGGCAGACUCGACAACAAGGCCAGCGAAGACAUCAACCCAGAUGACGACUUCCAGAGAGAGAUGUUCUUUUACCGUCAAGCCCAAGAAGCUGUUCUGGAAGCGAUGCCCCGGCUACUGAAGCUGAAGAUAGCCACCAAGAGACCUGAGGACUACUUUGCAGAGAUGGCCAAGUCAGACCAGCAAAUGCAGAAGAUCAGGAAGAAACUCAUCACGAAGCAGAUCAUGAUGGGGAAGUCGGAAAAGGCCAAGAAACUAAGAGAACAGAGGAAGUAUGGCAAGAAGGUACAAGUAGAGGUUAUUCAGAAGAGACAGAGGGAGAAGAAGGCCAUGAUGUCUUCAGUGAAGAGGUAUCAAAAAGGCAUGACUGACAAACUGGACUUCCUGGAAGGAGAUCAGAAGACUGCUAAAGGAGGCGCUCCAGCUAAAGGAGGUGCAGGGAAAGGGGCCGGUGGCCAAACACCUGAUAAAAAGGCCAUGAACAAGAAAGGGCCCAAUGCUAAGAGGAAGUAUAAAGACCAGAGGUUUGGCUUUGGCGGGAAGAAGAGUGGAACCAAGUGGAACACCAAGGACAGCCACAACGAUGUGUCAGGGUUCCGAGCCAAGGUGGCUCAUGGGAAAGGAGGAAAGGGAGGGAAAGGAGGCAAAGCAGGACCAGGCGGAAGGGGCCCCACCAAAGGAGGGGCUAAACGACCGGGCAAGAACGCACGCAAGAAGAUGAAGGGUCGCUCCUAAAGAGGUGUGUGUGUGUUGUCUUUGGUCUUUGCCACACUGCAUCCCAACUUCUGGAAGGAGAGUAUCACCAAGACUACAAGAUGUCCUUCCUAGAGUAUCACCAAGACUACAAGAUGUCCUUCCUAGAGUAUCACCAAGACUACAAGAUGUCCUUCCUAGAGUAUCACCAAGACUACAAGAUGUCCUUCCUAGAGUAUCACCAAGACUACAAGAUGUCCUUCCUAGAGUAUCACCAAGACUACAAGAUGUCCUUCCUAGAGUAUCACCAAGACUACAAGAUGUCCUUCCUAGAGUAUCACCAAGACUACAAGAUGUCCUUCCUAGAGUAUCACCAAGACUACAAGAUGUCCUUCCUAGAGUAUCACCAAGACUACAAGAUGUCCUUCCUAGAGUAUCACCAAGACUACAAGAUGUCCUUCCUAGAGUAUCACCAAGACUACAAGAUGUCCUUCCUAUUGUAUCACCAAGACGACAAGCUUUAGAAUGUCUCCAUAUGAAAACCAGACAGAGCGGUACUAAACAUGCCAAAUUCAAUGUUUUUUUUAAAUGGUUUAAACCUCUAACAUGAAUAUGGACAUCAACGGUACAAUGACAUUUUAUUAUCGGCAGUAAAAUAAAUCCAUGUAUCUUUUAAAGGAGAUCUUUAUACUUUGUUGUAGGGCGUCUACGUUUGUGAAACUAUUUCCACAAAUGUAUGUCAUCUAGUUUGAGUAAAUACUUGAUAGAUUUUUGUAAAAUGCACACUUUGCAAGUCUGCUUAUUGACCCCCUGAUUCACUACCUUUAGGGAUGUGAUAUUUUCUAAUAUUGAACAGCUGUCGUGUUUGGCCUUUUCCAUGUAUCAAUAUUAUUAAUGUGUAGUGGGCCAAUGUAUUACUUUCUAUAGAUCUGGGUAAAUGUUUCUUCUGCAAACAGGUUGCAGGUAUGACAAUAGUUGGUACAUUUUGGGCAAGAACCCCUUCUCUAGCCUGAGUGCCAGUCUGUGCUAUUAUACCAACUAAUUUCAUGCUGAGUUUUGCUUGACAAUGACUGAUGGAGAUGGCAAGAGCACAAACAGGGACCAGGCUACACCUGCAUCUGUUUAACUUGAAUGAAUGAUUAGUAUGCUGCUUCAUGUUUCUCAUGUGUGGUGUUUGUUAUAAACUGGGUGUUUCAAGCCUUGGAUGCUGAUUGACUGAAAGCCGUGGUAUACGGUCUGAUAUACCACGGGUGUGACUAUUUAUUUUCACUCUUCUAAUUAUGUUGGUAACCAGUUUAUAAUAGCAUUAAGGCACCUUGGGGGUUUGUGGUACAUGGUCAAUAUACCAUGGCUACAGGUUGUAUCCAGGCACUCUGCGUUGCACACAAGAACAGCCCUUAGCUGUGGUAUAUUGGCCAUAUACCACACCCCCUUGGGCCUUAUUGCUUAAUUACAGUAGGUCUGCCUGCAACCAGUUACAUUGUAUUUCCUUUGGACAGUAAAGUAUUAUUCUUCAUA